rnacentral:rRNA from 1 species
AGUGGGUGUAACGUACCUACUAGCCUACGACGGGUACGGGUUGUGAGAGCAAGAGCCCGGAGAUGGAUUCUGAGACAUGAAUCCAGGCCCUACGGGGUGCAGCAGGCGCGAAAACUUUACAAUGCGGGCAACCGCGAUAAGGGGACCUCGAGUGCUGGGUUACAAACCUGGCUGUUGGGCUGCCUAAAAAGCAGUCUAUAGCAAGGGCCGGGCAAGACCGGUGCCAGCCGCCGCGGUAACACCGGCGGCUCGAGUGGUAACCGCUAUUAUUGGGUCUAAAGGGUCUGUAGCCGGCCGACUAAGUCUCUUGGGAAAUCUGGCAUCUCAAGUGUCAGGCUGCCAGGGGAUACUGGUCAGCUUGGGACCGGGAGAGGUGAGAGGUACCUCGGGGGUAGGGGUGAAAUCUCGUAAUCCUCGAGGGACCACCAGUGGCGAAGGCGUCUCACCAGAACGGAUCCGACGGCAAGGGACGAAAGCUAGGGGCACGAACCGGAUUAGAU